AAUGAACGCUGGCGGCGUGCCUAACACAUGCAAGUCGAGCGAGAAAGCUCCUUCGGGAGUGAGUACAGCGGCGGACGGGUGAGUAACGCGUGAGAAUUUACCCUUUAGUGAAGAAUACCCCUGAGAAAUCAGGGGUUAAUACUGCAUACGUCCCUACGGGGAGAAAGGUGGCCUCUUUGCUGCCGCUAAAGGAUAAGCUUGCGGGCUAUUAGCUUGUUGGUGAGGUAAAGGCUCACCAAGGCGAUGAUGGCUAGCCGGCCUGAGAGGGUGUACGGCCACACUGGAACUUAGACACGGUCCAGACUCCUACGGGAGGCAGCAGUGAGGAAUAUUGCGCAAUGGGCGAAAGCCUGACGCAGCGACGCCGCGUGGAGGAUGAAGGUCUUCGGAUUGUAAACUUCUGUUAAGUGGGAAGAAAGGUUUAUCCUUAAUACGGAUAAAAGAUGACGGUACCAUUAGAGAAAGCACCGGCUAACUUCGUG
rnacentral:rRNA from 1 species